rnacentral:lncRNA from 1 species
UGGAGCAGCCUUGAGCCACAACUCAGACUUAUUUUCAUUCUCUGCUCAUUGGCCAUUAGGAACCCGAUCCUUAUGACCUGCAGUGACCUGCUGCUACCAGAACUGACUCGCUUCAAAGUGACGGAUGAAACCCAUAUGGAGAUAUUCCUGGGGUGGGUAGGCCAGUUGGAAGACAGAGUGUUUACACCUGAGAGAGGACUUGAGAAUUUUACUCAGUCACGUUGCUCACUGCUGCGCACUCCUGCAGACGCAUCCCAGUGGACUCUGCGCUGCAUCCCCAGAGUACAGCGAGUUUCCCGCCUCCCGUUAGAGAUCCAACACAUAUUUUUUUUGAAAGAAGAAACUGAUGGAAGACAGGAAGCAAAAAGGAGAGGAAGGAAAGGGAUAGGAAGGAGGGGAAGGAAAGGGAAAGGAAGGAAAAGAAAGGAAAGUGAACUUGAAAUCCUACAAGGUCUCAAAGUCAAAAAACAUGAUUGCUGUUUUAGAGAAUUGAAGAUCCUUCAUCUUCAAGAAUCUGAAAUCUACCAUGAUCUUCACAUGUAGCCAAACACAAUGGGAUGUAGUCAUUUAAGAGUGCUGUGAAGGCAGU